UACGGGGGGGGCAAGCGUUGUUCGGAAUUACUGGGCGUAAAGGGCGUGUAGGCGGCCAACUAAGUCCGACGUGAAAUCCCCAGGCUUAACCUGGGAACUGCGUCGGAUACUGGAUGGCUUGAAUCCGGGAGAGGGAUGCAGAAUUCCAGGUGUAGCGGUGAAAUGCGUAGAUAUCUGGAGGAAUACCAGUGGCGAAGGCGGCAUCCUGGACCGGCAUUGACGCUGAAGCGCGAAAGCUAGGGGAGCAAACGGG
rnacentral:rRNA from 1 species